CCUACAGGUGGCUGCAGUGGGGGAUAUUGCACAAUGGGGGGAACCCUGAUGCAGCGACGCCGCGUGGGUGAAGGAGUGCUUCGGCAUGUAAAGCCCUAUCGGCAGGGAAGAAGCAAGACGGUACCUGACUAAGAAGCCCCGGCUAACUACGUGCCAGCAGCCGCGGUAAUACGUAGGGGGCGAGCGUUAUCCGGAUUCACUGGGUGAAAAGGGAGCGUAGACGGCCAAGCAAGCCAGGGGUGAAAGCCCGGGCCCAACCCCGGGACUGCCCUUGGAACUGCAUGGCUGGAGUGCGGGAGGGGCAGGCGGAAUUCCUGGUGUAGCGGUGAAAUGCGUAGAUAUCAGGAGGAACACCGGCGGCGAAGGCGGCCUGCUGGACCGCGACUGACGUUGAGGCUCGAAAGCGUGGGGAGCGAACAGGAUUAGAUACCCGAGUAGUC
rnacentral:rRNA from 1 species